AUGCAGGCCAGCUCUAUAAGCUCAACUCUAUAAUGUGAAAACCUCAGUCGUUGCCUUCCUUUUCCUAUUUUCCCCGUGCUGUGUCACUAUAUGUAUACAUGGUGUUCUUGUCAUUAGUAUAACUUUGCUGGUUUGAGUAGUGUGUUCGUGUCGUCGCUCCGGACUCUUGCUUUUACAUUAUGGACUUCAGAGAGCAAAGUUCUCCAGAGGCGAGCUGCCAGGCAUGAGGGCUGAGGGAAAUUGACACCUGCUAAUGUACGCCUACAUUUGCAAGUUUUUGCGCGUUAACUUCUAUUGUGCAGAACAUGCGAAAAAUCGUUCAGGCGAAUAAAAAGAAAAGAA